GUGCUUAAACUAUAAUUUUAUCCAAUUCAUCAAUAAUUUGUCCACAAGAUUGGCUAGUUUUCAUGACUUCCUUUUACUGGAAUGUGUACAAAUUAUGGAUCAAACUAAAAGGGUAAACUACAAAAAAUAGCAUAAAAUUCUCAUUUGACAGCUUGUUGCUUUGUCAGCCGGUUGUGUAUCAUAGCAUGUGUUUUUGUGUACCCUAUUUUUAUUAAUAUUGAUUGAUGGUGAUUGAAAGUGAUUGAACACAAUAAUGGUUUGGGUGCCAUGGUUGCGCUCGGUAAAUCAACCAAUGCGCUCGAGAUCCUCAAAGAUGCUGGCGACGAGCCGGUCCAUGCGUCCGACACCGGCUUGAGUGAAUUUUUUGUGCGCUAUUGGCCCACAUAGACCAAAAGCAAGGAUACUUGAAGCCGAAACAGCCGGAAUUUCGUAUAUAAAUUGUACAGCGAUUCACUCAAAAGAUAGCCAAAACUGUCUUCCUUAUCAAAGGAUUGUAGGAUGAGGAUUGUACGUGAUUAUUGCAGCGCUCCAAAACAUGCCAAAUCCCAAGAUGUACACCCAAUACAGUAUCUCAACAUUGAGCUAACUAUGUAGGUAUUGAACAUAUUGUUCAUGACAACACGCAGAUGUCCCAGGGAGCCCGGUUCUGGAAUCUCACCCCAUCUCAUCUCAUCUAAACAUCUAAACACAUCCUUAAAAUGUCAUUAUCCUUAUUGUCCUUGAAUUCAAAGGAUUGCAUCCAAUCCGGGACAUUGUCCCGAUCACGAGAAGGCGUGGCAUGUCCUGAUCCGACAGGAUACGGCCGAAUUAUAGGGAUCUAACGACUACAUAUGAAAAAAUCCUUGAAAUGGCAUUAUCCUUAAUGUCCUUGCAUCCCAAAGGAUUGCAUCCAAUCCGGGACAUUGUCCCGAUCACGAGAAGGCGUGGCAUGUCCUAAUCCUACAGGAUACAGCCGAGUUAUAGGGUUUAAGCGACUACAUUUAAAAACAUCCUUAAAAUUUCAUUAUCCUAAAUGUCCUUGCAUCCAAAGGGAUUGAAAACGAUCCAGUACAGUCUCCCGAUCACGAGGAGGCUUGCCAUGUCCUGAUAGGCCUUCAAAUAAAGGAC